rnacentral:piRNA from 1 species
UGUCAUGUAUGUCCUGUUCUCUACUGCUUGC